AUGUCAGCAAGGAUCUUUUCCUUUCACAUACUGUAUGUUGCAAGGAUCUUUUCCUUUCACAUAUGUUGCAAGGAUUCACAUAUCUUGGAUCUGCCUAUGGGAACCUCCAAGCCUGGAAUUGAAGAUUUCAAACCCAUCAGGUGCUCCACCUUCCUUGUGAUGGUAGACUUGUGCUGCUCAAGUCUGUUUUUCAUGCCUCACUUCAUUGCAUUGCCUGAUGCUGUGGUCCAUAGUCAGAGGUACUCAAAAGCCUAUGGAGGAAAUCUGAGAUGGGAAGAUCAAGGGAUUGCUUUGUUAAGGGAUUGCUUUGGAGACCUCCUCGUCAGCGCCUUAGGCGCCGCUUCGCUUCGCUGGCGCUCGUACCAGCCUCGCAUGGGCUGGCCCAACUAG
rnacentral:rRNA from 1 species